GGCCGCGUGGCGAAAUGGCAUCGCGUCUGACUACGAAUCAGGAGAUUCCAGGUUCGACCCCUGGUGUGGUCA
rnacentral:tRNA from 1 species